rnacentral:misc_RNA from 1 species
AAAUCCAACAGCUAUUUACUAAUUAAACCAUUACAUUGCAGUGUUUCUGAAGUGUCGCUCAUGUAGCUCAAUAACUCUUAAUCAUUGUACACGAGGUUGCAUGAUCAUAAACAGAUUAAUCAUAUAAGAUAAAUGCCCAUCCCCCACUUCAAAUUCAUCAGCUGUCAGUGCCAAAAUAGCGAUCACCAAACUCCCCCAGUCCAGGGAUCACGCGGAAUUCGUUGUUCAGU